UCUCCGUAGGUGAACCUGCGGAGGGAUCAUUACAGAGUUCUGACCCUCGCGGGUAGAUCUCCCACCCUGUGUUAUUGCUACCUUUGUUGCUUUGGCGGGCCGCCCUCGGCUACCGGACCCGGCUUGUACGCGCCCGCCAGAGGACCCAAAACCCUGAACGUCAAUGUCGUCUGAGUACUAUACAAUAGUUAAAACUUUCAACAACGGAUCUCUUGGUUCUG
rnacentral:misc_RNA from 1 species